rnacentral:piRNA from 1 species
UAACAGCCAUAUUAAUUUCAGCCCUCUUAGU